GGCGCCGUGGCUUUGGUUGGUUAAAGCGCCUGUCCUGAUCUCAGGAGAUCACGAGUUCGAGAUCUCGUCGGUGCCU